rnacentral:rRNA from 1 species
GACGAACGCUGGCGGCGUGCUUAACACAUGCAAGUCGAACGGAAAGGCCCCUUUGGGGGUACUCGAGUGGCGAACGGGUGUGUAACACGUGAGUAACCUGCCCUUGACUUCGGGAUAACUUCAGGAAACUGGGGCUAAUACCGGAUAGGAAUCCUUGCUGCAUGGUGGGGGUUGGAAAGCUUCGGCGGUUUUGGAUGGACUCGCGGCUUAUCAGCUUGUUGGUGGGGUAGUGGCUUACCAAGGCUUUGACGGGUAGCCGGCCUGAGAGGGCGACCGGCCACAUUGGGACUGAGAUACGGCCCAGACUCCUACGGGAGGCAGCAGUGGGGAAUAUUGCACAAUGGGCGGAAGCCUGAUGCAGCAACGCCGCGGGCGGGAUGACGGCCUUCGGGUUGUAAACCGCUUUCAGCAGGGGCGAAGCUUGUGGUGACGGUACCUGCAGAAGAAGCACCGGCUAACUACGUG